UUUCAUUUCCGACCUCAGAUCGGACGAGAUUACCCGCUGAAUUUAAGCAUAUCACUAAGCGGAGGAAAAGAAACU
rnacentral:rRNA from 2 species